CUCAGUAUAUUCAAAUACAAAGCAAGUCAUCCAUAGUCUACCAGUUUAUUUAUUUUUUAAAUUUUUUUUUCAGUGUCUCACAUAAGAGAGUUCGCUUUGCUUGGUAAUAUUGAUAUUCAAGGCCAGACAUACAAGUUUGAUUCCUCAGUAUCUAUAUUUGCUUUGAACAUGUAACAAACCAAUGGAUGGAUUGCGCGAAAGCACCAACUUCUCAAUCAUCUGCGAAAAAUUCAUUUGUGUUGCAUAAACUUCAAAAAGUUUUGACGGUAAUUUGGCCGAAUGGAGCUCGAAAGUAUAGAAGGCCGCUCGUCUAAAGGUAAGCUUAGCCGGAAGGUCGACGGUGGAGAAGGCCGCUUGUCUAAGGGUAAGUUUGAACAGAUGAAGGUCGACGGUGGAGAAGGCCGCUUGUUUAAGGGUAAGUUUGGAGUUGAUUUUUUUAGUGGAUUUUUACUUUUUAAUUUUUUUAGUUGUUUUUAUUAUUAAUGUAUUUGGAAAGUUGUUAAAAAUGUCUUCUUUUUUUUU